ACUGGUAGAAAAAGUACAGCUUAUAAGACAAGCGAAUAGAGCCAGACGUUAGAGGAUUACAUGUGGGUUCCAAUGGUCAUCUUUUUCAUGUUGGAUUUAAGAGAAAAUUAAAACGUCUUAAAAUUUGAACUAACGAUAGUACUAAGUAGAUAGAUCAAUACCAAAUAGAUAGAUUUGGACCUCGAGUAAACCACUUAAUAAAUUAAGAAAUCUAGACAUGUAGUACAAAUUGAUAUAUAGUUUAGAGACUUAUGACACCAACGAACAAGUUUGUUGGGGUGAAUGGCGUAUUUUACUAGCUCGGGGAGCAUGCUAUAUAUAUCCCAAAUCGUACGUCAUCGGCACGCACACGUGCUUAUGUUUCUUCCAACCAGGAAAGCUGGUGUCAAAAGUUAGCAUACCAGCUAAUUUUAUCAUCAACUUAAAAACACAAAUCCAGUGACGCACGAUUUGUGAAGGUGGGGGCAUGCAAUGCAAUUGUCAUGAUCGAUCGGGUAGCGUAAUUAACGAUGACGCAUGCAGGUAGGCCGCCGCACGUGGUACAUUGAACGACUUGCUCCCCAAAGCGUUGGAGCGUCAGUUUCCAGCUGCACUCGUCUCCAUCUGCAUCAAUAUUAAAAAAAAAAUCGAGGACAGCGAUCAAGGUUCGAUAAGAGCUUCCGUCAAAAAAAAUUUCUUUCCUCAAAAGGUUCGAUAAGAGCAUGCGUAGUUUUUCUUUCUUUUGGUGUCAAAGAAAAAUGGAGAAUCCCUGACAGCGCCAACGGUAAUGGGCCUACUCUUGCCAACAUGCAAGUCUUGGGCCCACAAAAUCGCACGCACCAUCCUGUUUCCAGAGCGCCAGGC
rnacentral:lncRNA from 1 species